rnacentral:tRNA from 1 species
ACGGGAAUAGCUCAGUCGGUAGAGCACUGGUCUCCAAAACCAGGUGUCGGGAGUUCGAGUCUCUCUUCCCGUG